GCUCUUUGCUGCUCCGUUCUGCACCUUUUCCUCCUUUACCAUUGCGCUCCUUCUGUCCCUUCCUGCUCCUUGCUGCCCCUUCCUGCUCCUUGCAGACACUUCGUACUCCUUGCUGACCCUUCCUACUCCUUGCUGACCCUACCAGCUCCUUGCAGACCGUUCCUGCUCCUCGCUGACCCUUUCUGCUCCUUGCAGAUCUUUCCUGCCCCUUGCUGCCCAUUGCUGCCCCUUUCUGCUUCUUGCAGGCCCUUCCUACUCUUUGCUACCCCUUCUUGCUGCUCCUUCCUGCUUCUUGUUGACCCUUUCUGCUCCUUGCAGAUCCUUCCUGCUCCUUGCUGCCCCUUCCUACUUUUUGCAGACACUUCCUGCUCCCUGCAGACCCUUCCUGCAUUUUGUUGCCCCUUCCUGCUUCUUGCAGCCUCUUCCUGCUCCUUGCAGACCCUUCCUGAUCCUUGCUGCCACUUCCUGCUCCUUGCUGACCCUUUCUGUUCCUUCUCCUACUUUACUUUUCACUGUGCUACUUCUCUCUCUUCCUGCUCCUUGAUGCCCUUUCCAGCUCCUUGCUGCCCCUUCCUGCUUCUUGCUAAUCCUUGCUGACCCUUCCUGCCCCUUGCUCCCCAUUCCUGCUCCUUGCACCCCAUUUAGGCUUCUGCUGCCCCUUCCUGCUUCUUGCUGCCCCUCCCUGCUUCUUGCAGGCCCUUCCUGCUCCUACUUGCUGCUCCUUGCUGACCCUUCCUGCUCAUUUCUGAACCUUUCUGCUCGUUGCUGACCCUUCCUGUUUUUUGCAGCCUCUUUCAGCUAAUUGCAAACCUUUCCUGAUCCUUGCU